CGUAGGGAUCUGAGGAAAGAAGAGAUGGCCAGGUUAGAACCUACUGCAUCAGGUGGAUCUUCACGUAGGGAUCUGAGGAAAGAAGAGAGGGCCAGGUUAGAACCUACUGCAUCAGGUGGAUCUUCACGUAGGGAUCUGAGGAAAGAAGAGAGGGCCAGGUUAGAACCUACUGCAUCAGGUGGAUCUUCACGUAGGGAUCUGAGGAAAGAAGAGAUGGCCAGGUUAGAACCUACUGCAUCAGGUGGAUCUUCACGUAGGGAUCUGAGGAAAGAAGAGAGGGCCAGGUUAGAACCUACUGCAUCAGGUGGAUCUUGACGUAGGGAUCUGAGGAAAUAAGAGAGGGCCAGGUUAGAACCCACUGCAUCAGGUGGAUCUUCACGUAGGGAUCUGAGGAAAGAAGAGAGGCCCAGGUUAGAACCUACUGCAUCAGGUGGAUCUUCACGUAGGGAUCUGAGGAAAGAAGAGAGGGCCAGGUUAGAACCUACUGCAUCAGGUGGAUCUUCACGUAGGGAUCUGAGGAAAGAAGAGAGGGCCAGGUUAGAACCUACUGCAUCAGGUGGAUCUUCACGUAGGGAUCUGAGGAAAGAAGAGAGGGCCAGGUUAGAACCUACUGCAUCAGGUGGAUCUUGACGUAGGGAUCUGAGGAAAGAAGAGAGGGCCAGGUUAGAACCUACUGCAUCAGGUGGAUCUUCACGUAGGGAUCUGAGGAAAGAAGAGAGGGCCAGGUUAGAACCUACUGCAUCAGGUGGAUCUUCACGUAGGGAUCUGAGGAAAGAAGAGAGGGCCAGGUUAGAACCUACUGCAUCAGGUGGAUCUUGACGUAGGGAUCUGAGGAAAGAAGAGAGGGCCAGGUUAGAACCUACUGCAUCAGGUGGAUCUUGACGUAGG